AUUUUUUUUUUAAUUUGUUGAGGCAACGAAUAUAUUUUUUUCUAAACUGUGAAUUACUAUCGAAAAAAAACUUACUUACUUUUAAAAACCGAAGAUUCUUCAAAAAAAAAAGAAAUUCGACUGAAACAAAUCCUACAAAUACCUAAUUUUAUGACAAAAUCAACAAAAUUUAUUAGUAAUGAAAAGUUACAAUUCUUCAACACAAGAUAUCGAAGAAGUACAAUCAACUCAUUUGUUAUAGCAAGAUACAGAUUUGAACGAAAGACCGUCAGCUUUUCCUCCAUCAGAAGAUGCCAGAGAAAUAUAGUCAAGAACUGAUAUUUCACAUUAAGUAGUGAUCGCUUUCGCUGGAAUUUACACGACGAAACGGGAUUUUAUAACUAUGAACAGUGUACCACAGAAUGAAGUUACGGAUUUAAAAAAUUCCAGAAAUGUUAAUAAAGGUGGAACGAGGUUUUGUUCUAAAAGUUAAUCGAACGUACUUUGAAGAACUGAGAAUUAUUAUUUUGUAUUUUGUAAAACUAAAUUUUUUUUUACAAUUUAUCUGAGAUAGGUACGAAUCAAUAAAAUGAUCUUACAAAUAAAUGAGACGGAAAGUAUCCUGAUGAUUUAGAAGAGA